CCUACGGGUGGCAGCAGUCGAGAAUCAUUCACAAUGGGGGAAACCCUGAUGGUGCGACGCCGCGUGGGGGAAUGAAGCUUUUCGGUUUGUAACUUCUUGUCAUGUGGGAGCAUAUUAGACAGUACGUACCGCAUGAGGAACAGCUGGCUACCUCUGUGCAAGCAGCCGCGUAAAUACAUAGGUGGCAAGCGUCGUGCGGAUUCACUGGGAGUAAAGUGUGGGUAGGCUGUCUCGUAAGGAGUGAGUGAAAGGCGCGGGCUCAACCAGCGGACGGCACAGGAUUCUGCGAGCCUAGAGUAAAGGAGAGGUAAGCGGAAUUCGCGGUGUAGCAGUGAAAUGCGUAGAUAUCGAGAGGAACACUCGUGGCGAAGGCGGGUUCCUGGACAUUAACUGACGCUGAGGCACGAAGGCCAGGGGAGCGAAAGGGAUUAGAUACCCUUGUAGUC
rnacentral:rRNA from 1 species